rnacentral:rRNA from 1 species
CUGGCUCUUCGAAGCCAAAAAUGAAGAGUCUGGCCUGCCCCGUGAAUAAAAUUUAACGGCCGCGGUACUCUGACCGUGCGAAGGUAGCAUAAUCAUUUGUCUUAUAAUUGAAGUCUGGGAUGAAAGGUUUAACAAGGGUGAAGCUGUCUCUAGUCUUUUGCUAGAACUUUAUUAUUAAGUUAAAAGGCUUAAGUUGAAUUAGAAGACGAGAAGACCCUGUCGAACUUAAGGAAAAUUUAUAUAAUUCUUAACAUAGAUGGAAAUAGGAUGUAUAAAAAACUUUGGUUGGGGCGACCUGGGAACAAGAAAAGCUUCCUUCUUAAAAGAAAUUUUAUAAAUUAAGAUCCACUUGUAGUGAUCAGAAGAAUUAGUUACCGUAGGGAUAACAGCAUUAUCUUUUUUGAGAGUUCGUAUCGAAAAAGAGGUUUGUGACCUCGAUGUUGGACCAGGAUAACCUAGAGAUGUAGAAGUCUCUAAAUGGUUGGUCUGUUCGACCAUUAAAAUCCUACGUGAUCUGAGUUCAGACC